UAGAAUUAACCUAGGUAUAUAAGGUUAAGUUAGAGAGAGAGAAUCACUUUGCCAAAGAAAAGAGAAGGAGGUAGAAAGAGAAAGAGUAGAGAAGAGAAGAGUAGAGAAAAGAAGAGAAAACCUAGAGAUUCAAGUGAAGGACCAAAGAAUUCAUCUUUCUAAGAUUCUAAGGUCGUGUGUUUGUCGGUGUUCGAGUCGUCAGUGAAGCUCCGCUCUGAUCAUGACACGGGGAAAUGGUUCAUAUAAUGUACAUAUGUAUAUAGAGUCUUUUAUUUUCAUUAUCUUAAUUUAUUUAAGGUUGUAUCAUUUAGAAAGAGUAUUUUGUAUAAAAUGAUAUUUUACUAAUUAAGUUAUUAGUAGUGUUUUGUAAGAAGAAUGUAAUACUCGAACCAAUAUUUUUAUAAUUUAGUAUUAAUUUCCGUUGCA